rnacentral:rRNA from 1 species
CUUAGUGGCGGACGGGUGAGUAACGCGUGGGGAACCUGCCCUGUACAGGGGGAUAACACUUAGAAAUAGGUGCUAAUACCGCAUAAGCGCACAGUGUCGCAGUGAAUACAGUGUGAAAAACUCCGGUGGUACAGGAUGGACCCGCGUCUGAUUAGCUGGUUGGCGGGGUAACGGCCUACCAAGGCGACGAUCAGUAGCCGGCCUGAGAGGGUCGGACGGCCACAUUGGGACUGAGACACGGCCCAAACUCCUACGGGAGGCAGCAG